GGAGGAUUGGCCGAGUGGUAAGGCACCGGCUUGCGCUGUGUUCCAUCAAAAGCAAGUCGUGGUCGGGGUCACCCCCGCGCGCGUUCGAUCCGCGCAUCCUCCG
rnacentral:tRNA from 1 species